CCUACGGGGGGCAGCAGUGGGGAAUAUUGGACAAUGGGCGAAAGCCUGAUCCAGCCAUGCCGCGUGUGUGAAGAAGGCCUUCGGGUUGUAAAGCACUUUCAGUGGGGAAGAAAGCCUUGGGGCUAAUACCCUCGAGGAAGGACAUCACCCACAGAAGAAGCACCGGCUAACUCCGUGCCAGCAGCCGCGGUAAUACGGAGGGUGCGAGCGUUAAUCGGAAUUACUGGGCGUAAAGCGCGCGUAGGCGGUCUGAUAAGCCGGUUGUGAAAGCCCCGGGCUCAACCUGGGAACGGCAUCCGGAACUGUCAGGCUAGAGUGCAGGAGAGGAAGGUAGAAUUCCCGGUGUAGCGGUGAAAUGCGUAGAGAUCGGGAGGAAUAACAGUGGCGAAGGCGGCCUUCUGGACUGACACUGACGCUGAGGUGCGAAAGCGUGGGUAGCAAACAGGAUUAGAUACCCUGUAGUC
rnacentral:rRNA from 1 species